UUUGCUACUAACAGCAAUAAAAUGAUCCAGAACAAUUCUUAAAGACUUAUGAGGAAUGCUAUCUACCACCAGAGAAAGAACUAGAGAAUUGGAAUGCAGAUGAAAGUAAAAAAAAACAAUUGAAUUAAUUGAAGAGUAGGAUCAAGAUCAAGAAGGACUAUAUUCUAUGCUAAUCGGGUCACUUGUGGGGCAUUGUGAAGAGACUGAAAAAAACUGAAGUGUGUAUAAAAGAAGCCUAUCAAGCUGAUGAGAAUUCUCAAUUUCAAAGCACAUGGUGAAUGAUUGUUAGUACCAGGAACAUUGAGGUUGAAGAAGAGAAUGCUCAGGGAGUAUAAAUUCUGUUUUCAAAUACUGUGAUGACUUAAAUGUCAAAGGCUCAGACUUUUCUAAAAAGCCUUAGAAAACAAAACUAGGAUUUCU
rnacentral:lncRNA from 1 species